rnacentral:rRNA from 1 species
UACGGAGGAUCCGAGCGUUAUCCGGAUUUAUUGGGUUUAAAGGGUGCUCAGGCGGGAUAUUAAGUCGGCGGUGAAAUUUUGCAGCUCAACUGUAAAAGUGCCUUCGAAACUGGUAACCUUGAGUGUGGAUGAGGUAGGCGGAAUUUGUGGUGUAGCGGUGAAAUGCAUAGAUAUCACGAGGAACUCCGAUUGCGCAGGCAGCUUACUAAACCAUAACUGACGCUCAAGCACGAAGGCGUGGGGAUCAAACAGG